ensembl:rRNA 5S_rRNA 5S ribosomal RNA
GUCUAUGGCUAUACCACCCUGAACACACCCAAUGUCUUCUGAUCUUGGAAACCAAGCAGGGUCAGGCCUGGUUAGUACUUGGAUGGGAAAAAGAGUAUGUAUAUGUGCUGUCUCCU